UCCCCAGGAUCCUGAAAGCGCAUGCUAAUGUUUCUGCUCAGGAAAGGGGCUGUGAUGAGUGCCUAAACACUGAAGAACCUGGAGGGAGAGGUCACAGCAGGUUACGGCGACCCUCUCGGGUUCACAGCUCUGGGACAGAAGAGGGGGUGGCAAUGAAUGGAGCCAGUUCUCAAAGUCCACAUCACAACACACCUGCUCGUCACAGCAUAGGUGGAGUUCCCAGCAGUAAUCAGGAGUACCCAGGGGUUUCUGGAGCUUCGAGCCGCUCUACCACUCCCAUCCAUCUCCCUGCUGAAUUCUUCCACCCAGCUGCUGCGGCCCUCCCGGCACCCCCGAGAGGCCGACCGGGACACAAACCAAGAGGGCUCCGGCUAACAUCCCCAGCCUCAUGGACAUCUCUACGCUCUCCUGGAGCAAACACCAGGCUGCUCACCACACAGUAUCCAUCUCACAGUGACUCCUCCCUGGCUACGGGCAGCUCAGAGAGCAGCCUACCAACCACCAUGGAAGAAGGGCUCAGUUUCACCACCCAGCCACUGCUGGACACACUCCUUGACGAUCGCUCCAGCCUCUCCACAAAGACCCUGAGACCCAGCCCUCCAGCCACCCAGAACGUCCAAACUAUAAGGGGGCACCAGCGCAGCAAGAGCAGUUGUGAAAGGGACAUUAAUGCAGGAAGAACUCGGCAAGACUCCGAUGAGGAUGUAGGGAUGGUACGGUGCGGUUCUAACCAGACGUGCGACAGCCAGCAGCUCUCAGAGACACCGAGCAGCCUGUCGCUCACAUCGCUGCUUCUGCCGAGCUCUCUAGCGCCCCUGUUUGUGAAAAAGUGCAACAGCACAGGUAGCUUAGACCAGGGGACUUUCACAACCCAAGAAAAUGUGUUCAUAAAAGAGCCACAGGGUAAAAUCACCAGCUCCUGGAAAGAAAGGAAAGAAGGAAGAAGAGAGAGUCAGUCGGAGGCAGCACAAGGAAAAGACAGGGAAAGUACAAGCCAAAUAACAAUUGUGGGCUCCAGAAGAAAUAGAUGAAACUUUACCUAGUGUUAGUUAUUGCUAAGG
rnacentral:lncRNA from 1 species